rnacentral:rRNA from 1 species
AUUGAACGCUGGCGGCAUGCUUUACACAUGCAAGUCGAACGGCAGCACGGGUGCUUGCACCUGGUGGCGAGUGGCGGACGGGUGAGUAAUGCAUCGGAACGUGUCCUAAAGUGGGGGAUAGCGCAUCGAAAGAUGUGCUAAUACCGCAUAUUCUCUGAGGAGGAAAGUAGGGGAUCGAAAGACCUUAUGCUUUUGGAGCGGCCGAUGUCUGAUUAGCUAGUUGGUAGGGUAAUGGCUUACCAAGGCGACGAUCAGUAGUUGGUCUGAGAGGACGACCAGCCACACUGGGACUGAGACACGGCCCAGACUCCUACGGGAGGCAGCAGUGGGGAAUUUUGGACAAUGGGCGCAAGCCUGAUCCAGCAAUGCCGCGUGAGUGAAGAAGGUCUUCGGGUUGUAAAGCUCUUUCGGCCGGGAAGAAAUCGCAUGGGCUAAUACCCUGUGCGGAUGACGGUACCGGCAUAAGAAGCACCGGCUAACUACGUGCCAG